rnacentral:rRNA from 1 species
AGUAAAAGUCGUAACAAGGUUUCCGUAGGUGAACCUGCGGAAGGAUCAUUAACGAUUGCUAUAAAUGCAAAGACUGGAUUGAACUGGAUUGAACGAUCAAACUCCUGACGAGUUCAGGAAGGAUGGCGCCUCUCACGGCCAUCGUGGUCGUUGCGCUCUGCGCUGCGAACGAUGUAAAACAAACAACCGAUGGCCUCUCAUACAGUAUAAUAUCUCUCGCCAUGGCAUACAGGCCUGGCAUCUGGUACGAGUCUCUCGCAGUCUCAAAACCAACCUUACAACUCUGAGCGGUGGAUCACUUGGCUUGUGGAUGCUAUGAAGACCAUAGCUAAGUGUGAGAAUGGCAGCGAGCCGUCGCUAUAUGCGCUGUCCUCUUCUUAUCACAUGUCGAAUGCACAUUGCGCCCCACCCAGCGGUCAGGCUAAACAACCUGCAGACAAAAGCCUGUGAGUUGGAACAAAGGCUAAUGUGUGGCCCUCGAGCAACGGCGGGGGAGCCAGGAGCACAUGAGCGUGCGGACCAACUACUCGUGAGUAGUCAGGCUUGACCCUAUGGUGGGGCACUCCUAGUCGAGUGUGGUGGAUCUGACUAGAACAUCUCUUGUUGCGCGUUCGCGCGUGAUGGAGUUUGUUUCUCUGGUGCUGGAAGCAUUUGGGUCGACAUCAGUCGUGCCCGUAAACAACUGCCUUGGCUCGUGCCUCUGUGCGUAUACCUCUCGAAGGAGCGUACAUUGAAGGCCAUAGCUUGGCGAUCACUCUUGCGGCCAGGGCACUACUUCGGUAGUGCGCACAGGUCCAAAAGGAAUUGGAAUACGAGAAUCGGGUCUCAAUACUCUGGACGGCUUCUUUCUACACACAAUUGGUGGAGUGGUGAUCACAUGGUUAUCGAGGAACUGUAUUAACCGUUAGUCUGGUAAGGCCCCGUCCGAGCCCCACCUCUUUUGUAUGCACACAUAUAUCAGACAGUGCCUCCCCUGACGAGAUCAGGAAGGAUGGUCUGAGAGUGUGUGUGUCAAAAGUAACAGAUUGGCCGGCAGCUCGCAUCACAUCCGCAUGAGGAGUGGUGAUCAUGUGGUUAUUGAGGAAGCUGGUUUUAACGUUGCUCCGGUAAACGCUUUUGUUUCUCGUGUUAUGCGAGCAUUCAAGAGUUGUGCCACUUUUGCUCGCACACAUGUGUGACUGGCUUUGCCUAUCACACAUGAGGACAAGGAAUGACCGAACGCCUGACGAGAUCAGGUAAAGGUGCGGCAAAAGUAGCCGAGCGGCUACAGUCUCACAUCACUCUGCUUCUUGUACUUGUUGUCUGUUGUAUGUUUUCUGUUCGAUGUGGUGAUCACAUGGUUAUCGAGGAACUGUAUUAACCGUUAGUCUGGGAAGGCCCCGUCCAAGCCUCACCUCUUUAGUAUGCACACAUAUAUCAAUCAGACAGUGCCUCCCCUGACGAGAUCAGGAAGGAUGGUCUGAGAGUGUGUGUGUCAAAAGUAACAGAUUGGCCGGCAGCUCGCAUCACAUCCGCAUGAGGAGUGGUGAUCAUGUGGUUAUUGAGGAAGCUGGUUUUAACGUUGCUCCGGUAAACGCUUUUGUAUCUUGCAAGCUCCAGCACGACAAGAGCGUUACCACUUUUGCUCGCACACAUGUGUGACUGGCUUUGCCUAUCACACAUGAGGACAAGGAAUGACCGAACGCCUGACGAGAUCAGGAAAAGGUGCGUCAAAAGUAACAGAGCGGCUACAGUCUCACAUCACAUCGAGGGUUGUACUUCCGUUUGUAUGACGUGGUGAUCACAUGGUUAUCGAGAGCACUGUAUUAACCGUUAGUCUGGUAAGGCCCCGUCCGAGCCCCACCUCUUUUGUAUGCACACAUAUAUCAAACAGUGCCUCCCCUGACGAGAUCAGGAAGGAUGGUCUGAUAGUGUGUGUGUCAAAAGUAACAGAUUGGCCGGCAGUCUCGCAUCACAUCCGCAUGAGGAGUGGUGAUCAUGUUGGUUAUUGAGGAAGCUGGUUUUAACGUUGCUCCGGUAAAGACCCUUACCACUUUUGCUCGCACACAUGUGUGACUGGCUUUGCCUAUCACACAUGAGGACAAGGAAUGACCGAACGCCUGACGAGAUCAGGUAAAGGUGCGUCAAAAGUAACAGAGCGGCUACAGUCUCACACCACUGAAAACGUUGUACUUCCCGUGUAGAAAAGAAUACGGCUCAAUGAGGGAGACCUGGUUGCUUGUGUUUUCGUAAUUGCCACCACCUCGACUUAGGAGAGGUUACCCGCUGAACUUAAGCAUAUCAGUAAGCGGAGGAAAAGAAACCAAUCAGGGAUUCCCUUAGUAGGGGCGACCGAACAGGGAUGAGCCCAGCGCAGAACCUCCCGGGCCACCCGGCCUGCGGCGGAAUGUUGCGUUAAGGGAAAGGUCGUAGUCAAACCCCACAGCCACGCGAGCUCUAAGUAAGUCACGAAUUGGCUAUCCCAACUAACGGCGGGAAAAUCUCCACGGAGGGUGUAAGACCCGUGUGGGCGCGUGUAAAUGCUGUGUGGGCUCGGCCUCUUUUCCCUGAGAGUCGCGUUGCUUGAGCAUGCAGCGCUAAGCAGGUCGUAAACUCGAUCUAAGGCUAAAUAUGUCCACAAGACCGAUAGCGAACAAGUACCGUGAGGGAAAGUUGAAAAGCACUCUGAAGAGAG